AGUGAACGCUGGCGGUAGGCCUAACACAUGCAAGUCGAACGGCAGCACAGUAAGAGCUUGCUCUUACGGGUGGCGAGUGGCGGACGGGUGAGGAAUACAUCGGAAUCUACUUUUUCGUGGGGGAUAACGUAGGGAAACUUACGCUAAUACCGCAUACGACCUACGGGUGAAAGCAGGGGAUCUUCGGACCUUGCGCGAUUGAAUGAGCCGAUGUCGGAUUAGCUAGUUGGCGGGGUAAAGGCCCACCAAGGCGACGAUCCGUAGCUGGUCUGAGAGGAUGAUCAGCCACACUGGAACUGGGACACGGUCCAGACUCCUACGGGAGGCAGCAGUGGGGAAUAUUGGACAAUGGGCGCAAGCCUGAUCCAGCCAUACCGCGUGGGUGAAGAAGGCCUUCGGGUUGUAAAGCCCCUUUGUUGGGAAAGAAAAGCAGCAGGUGAAUACCCCGCUGUUCUGACGGUACCCAAAGAAUAAGCACCGGCUAACUUCGUG
rnacentral:rRNA from 1 species